GGGGGCCCGCACAAGCGGCGGAGCAUGCGGAUUAAUUCGAUGCAACGCGAAGAACCUUACCAAGGCUUGACAUGGACCGGACCGGGCUGGAAACAGUCCUUCCCCUUUGGGGCCGGUUCACAGGUGGUGCAUGGUUGUCGUCAGCUCGUGUCGUGAGAUGUUGGGUUAAGUCCCGCAACGAGCGCAACCCUCGUUCUAUGUUGCCAGCGCGUUAUGGCGGGGACUCAUAGGAGACUGCCGGGGUCAACUCGGAGGAAGGUGGGGACGACGUCAAGUCAUCAUGCCCCUUAUGUCCAGGGCUUCACACAUGCUACAAUGGCCAGUACAGAGGGCUGCGAGACCGUGAGGUGGAGCGAAUCCCUUAAAGCUGGUCUCAGUUCGGAUUGGGGUCUGCAACUCGACCCCAUGAAGUCGGAGUCGCUAGUAAUCGCAGAUCAGCAACGCUGCGGUGAAUACGUUCCCGGGCCUUGUACACACCGCCCGUCAAGUCACGAAAGUUGGUAACACCCGAAGCCGGUGGCCUAACCCCUUGUGGGAGGGAGCUGUCGAAGGUGGGACUGGCGAUUGGGACUAAG
rnacentral:rRNA from 1 species